rnacentral:rRNA from 1 species
GAUGAACGCUAGCGGCAGGCCUAAUACAUGCAAGUCGAACGGGAUUAAGAGGCUUGCUUCUUAUGAGAGUGGCGCACGGGUGCGUAACACGUAUGCAACCUACCUUCAACUGGGGGAUAGCCUUCCGAAAGGGAGAUUAAUACCGCAUAACAUAAUUGAACGGCAUCGUUUAAUUAUCAAACUCCCAGGGGUUGAAGAUGGGCAUGCGUCCGAUUAGUUAGUUGGUGAGGUAACGGCUCACCAAGACAUCGAUCGGUAGGGGAUCUGAGAGGAUUGCCCCCCACACUGGUACUGAGACACGGACCAGACUCCUACGGGAGGCAGCAGUAAGGAAUAUUGGUCAAUGGACGCAAGUCUGAACCAGCCAUGCCGCGUGCAGGAAGACGGUCCUCUGGAUUGUAAACUGCUUUUGUUAGGGAAGAAACCCUCGGAUGCGUUCGAGGCUGACGGUACCUAAAGAAUAAGGACCGGCUAACUCCGUGCCAGCCGCCGCAGUAAAAC